AUGACAGCCCAUCAUAAAGAUAGAGGACUCUAGUGCCCAAAAGCCAGUUUUAGCAUGUGCAGCGACAUUCGGGACUUUCACCAUUCUGAAGUAAUCAACUGAGUGGAACUACCUACGGUUUAAGGAUCACAUGAUUCCAUCCAGGUCAUCAGGAGGCUUCAACCAAUGAAUUAUACUCAUGAGGAAACAUUCCAUAACUGCAGGUAGCUGUAAAUGGCCCACCUUGGUUUUAUACCUGUUCAAACAACACACUCCAGGUGGCAGGAUGCACCCUUACAGUUUGAUUACCAACUCAUAGAAGUAGUAGAAGAAGAAAAUGAACUAGUUCGAAAUGAAGAUUUCCUCAAUGGCUCUUCCCAUGCUCCCACAGACGCCCUAUUGGGACAGAUGCAAUGUUGUGUUCUCUANNNNNNNNNNNNNNNNNNNNNNNNNNNNNNNNNNNNNNNNNNNAAAUGGGGAAUAGGGUUCCAUUUGGGAAGCACCCUAAAUGAUAACAAUUUAUUUAACUGUAUUAACUUUAUGCAUGUUGACGAGUCGACAGGUGAGUUAGGUUGAAACUUUACAGGUGAGUUAGGUUGAAACUUUACAGGUGAGUUAGGUUGAAACUUUACAGGUGAGUUAGGUUGAAACUUUACAGGUGAGUUAGGUUGAAACUUUACAGGUGAGUUAGGUUGAAACUUUACAGGUGAGUUAGGUUGAAACUUUACAGGUGAGUUAGGUUGAAACUUUACAGGUGAGUUAGGUUGAAACUUUACAGGUGAGUUAGGUUGAAACUUUACAGGGGAGUUAGGUUGAAACUUUACAGGUGAGUUAGGUUGAAACUUUACAGGUGAGUUGGUUGUGGUGACCUAUCUCUCCCGUCUCAUCUCUGUCUAUACAGAAGUUUCCACGACAACCAUAGAGGUCAUGGCCAUAGUAUUCUGCUGUUUCCUCAUGCUGACCCUGGCAGGGGGUGUAGCCUGUGUGAUGAGGAUGCUCAACCGCCAACGAGUGAAAGACGAUUCAGCGAACAUUUCUGCAUCAUUCCAGAUCCACUUCCUCUGUCUGACAUCACUACCAGGUCAGGGGUCAAGCAAGUGGACACUUCCUGUGUUGACAGUGACGUUGAGAAUCAGACCCUUGAGAUCACAAUAUAACCGACAUGAUGAAAUAAACCCAACCUCAGCCCGACGAGUUCCUCACAAAAUAAUCCUUCAAUGUAAUUUUAUCCAACAAACUAUUUAUAACGUUUUUUUCAAACACUUCAGCCCAUUUUUCAGAUUGAAGUGUUAUAUCUUCAAAACUCUUACAACAAAUCUCAAAACUCAUAUUGAUUGCAGUACUCGCGGGGGUAAUACACUCGACCACUGCUACUCUAACUUCCGUGAUGCAUACAAAGCCCUUCCCUGCCAUUCCUUCGGCAAAUCCGACCACGGCGCCAUCUUGCUCCUACCGUCUUAUAGGUAG
rnacentral:lncRNA from 13 species